AAUGCAUGAUGUGGGUAUUUUCUAAGCAUUUCUUUAAAUCUUUUCCAACUCUUAUAAAUGGAUUCUUCUUCAAAUUGAGUAAAAGAAGCUAUGUCAUUUCUAAGUUU